ACACAGAGCCGCCUUUCAGCCGCCCGAGAACGGCCCGCCGCACUCCGCGACUGCGGCGCCUGCUCUCGGGCCGGGGUCUGCGCGCACCACGCGGCCGUCAGGAAGGGUAAGAGAAGGGAACCCCGCUUUGCAGGGCUCCAACUUCGGCGGACGCGUUACGGCGAGGGCGAAAUGAGUCGGCCGUGAACGGUGUUUCCUGUUCCGAAUCCCGAGAGCCCUGGAAAGUUUUGAAGGAGGAGGCAUGGCCCGGCAGCCUUAUCGUUUUCCCCAGGCAAGGAUUCCGGAGAGAGGAUCAGGUGUUUUCGGGUUAACCGUCAGAAAUGCAAUGGCACAUCGUGAUUCUGAGAUGAAAGAAGAAUGUCUAAGGGAAGACCUGAAGUUUUACUUCAUGAGCCCUUGUGAAAAAUACCGAGCCAGACGCCAGAUUCCAUGGAAACUGGGUUUGCAGAUUUUGAAGAUAGUCAUGGUCACCACACAGCUUGUUCGUUUUGGUUUAAGUAACCAGCUGGUGGUUGCUUUCAAAGAAGAUAACACUGUUGCUUUUAAGCACUUGUUUUUGAAAGGAUAUUCUGGUACAGAUGAAGAUGACUACAGCUGCAGUGUAUAUACUCAAGAGGAUGCCUAUGAGAGCAUCUUUUUUGCUAUUAAUCAGUAUCAUCAGCUAAAGGACAUUACCCUGGGGACCCUUGGUUAUGGAGAAAAUGAAGACAAUAGAAUUGGCUUAAAAGUCUGUAAGCAGCAUUACAAGAAAGGGACCAUGUUUCCUUCUAAUGAGACACUGAAUAUUGACAACGACGUUGAGCUCGAUUGUGUUCAAUUAGAGCUUCAGGACCUCUCCAAGAAGCCUCCGGACUGGAAGAACUCAUCAUUCUUCAGACUGGAAUUUUAUCGGCUCUUACAGGUUGAAAUCUCCUUUCAUCUUAAAGGCAUUGACCUACAAACAAUUCAUUCCCGUGAGUUACCAGACUGUUAUGUCUUUCAGAAUACGAUUAUCUUUGACAAUAAAGCUCACAGUGGCAAAAUCAAAAUCUAUUUUGACAGUGAUGCCAAAAUUGAAGAAUGUAAAGACUUGAACAUACUUGGAUCUACUCAGAAAAAUGCUCAGUAUGUCCUGGUGUUUGAUGCAUUUGUCAUUGUGAUUUGCUUGGCAUCUCUUAUUCUGUGUACAAGAUCCAUUGUUCUUGCUCUAAGGUUACGGAAGAGAUUUCUAAAUUUCUUCCUGGAGAAGUACAAGCGGCCUGUGUGUGACACCGACCAGUGGGAGUUCAUCAACGGCUGGUAUGUCCUGGUGAUUAUCAGCGACCUAAUGACAAUCAUUGGCUCCAUAUUAAAAAUGGAAAUCAAAGCAAAGAAUCUCACAAACUAUGAUCUCUGCAGCAUUUUUCUUGGAACCUCUACGCUCUUGGUUUGGGUUGGAGUCAUCAGAUACCUGGGUUAUUUCCAGGCAUAUAAUGUGCUGAUUUUAACAAUGCAGGCCUCACUGCCAAAAGUUCUUCGGUUUUGUGCUUGUGCUGGUAUGAUUUAUCUGGGUUACACAUUCUGUGGCUGGAUUGUCUUAGGACCAUACCAUGACAAGGAUAUAGAAGUGACUACAGGAUAUUGAAACAAGAACUGUACAAUACUAGAAAGCAUGUAUUAUAGUUGUCUGGGACUGGCUUAAGGGGUCACAUGGUUACCCGGUGAUCAUCAAAUGGGAAAUGUUUGGACAUG
rnacentral:sRNA from 1 species